rnacentral:rRNA from 1 species
CAGCAGCCGCGGUAAUACGGAGGGUGCAAGCGUUAAUCGGGAUUACUGGGCGUAAAGCGCACGCAGGCGGUUUGUUAAGUCAGAUGUGAAAUCCCCGAGCUUAACUUGGGAACUGCAUUUGAAACUGGCAAGCUAGAGUCUUGUAGAGGGGGGUAGAAUUCCAGGUGUAGCGGUGAAAUGUGUAGAGAUCUGGAGGAAUACCGGUGGCGAAGGCGGCCCCCUGGACAAAGACUGACGCUCAGGUGCGAAAGCGUGGGGAGCAAACAGGAUUAGAUACCCCGGUAGUCCCUGUCUCUUAUAC